rnacentral:rRNA from 1 species
CCUACGGGUGGCUGCAGUGAGGAAUAUUGGUCAAUGGCCGGAAGGCUGAACCAGCCAAGCCGCGUGAAGGACGAAGGUGCCAAGCAUUGUAAACUUCUUUUGUCAAGGGACAAAAUCCGGCUCGAGAGCCUGACCGCGGGGACUUCAAGAAAAAGCAUCGGCUAACUCCGUGCCAGCAGCCGCGGUAAUCCGGAGGGAGCGAGCGUUAUCCGGAUUUAUUGGGUUUAAAGGGUGCGUAGGCGGGCUCUUAAGUCAGCGGUAAAAGCCCGGGGCUCAACCCCGGCGAGCCGUUGAAACUGGGGGUCUUGAGAGGGCGAGAGGUAUGCGGAAUGCGCAGUGUAGCGGUGAAAUGCGUAGAUAUUGCGAAGAACUCCGAUUGCGAAGGCAGCAUACCGGAGGGGAUCUGACGCUGAGGCACGAAAGCGUGGGUAUCGAACAGGAUUAGAUACCCCUGUAGUC